rnacentral:ncRNA from 1 species
AAAUAAAAAAGGCAAACCAUAGGAAACUUUGGGACGCAAAGCUAUAGGGACUUCAUCGAUGUUGCGAUAGGUCAGCCAGUUACCGAA